GAUGAUAAACUUAUGAGAGAACAUUUCAUUUGGACCUGGCACUUAUGGAAGAAAAACGUAUGCAACAACAUUCCAUUCUUUCCAUUUUUAGACCUUCUCAAUUUAGAUCUUAAGAAAGAAAAACGUACAACAACCUUGUAACUCAUUUUAGCUAUCCAUUUUGUUCUUAAACGAGUGGAUGAAAGGCUACUUCAUCGAGAUGUAAAGUUAUGAGAGGUUCGAAAGGGAACAACCAAGGCUUGAUUCGACAUUUACGAGUUCGUAUGAGUAUGUAAGGUUAAACGUCUAUUUGAAUGAUUGAGUCGUUGUGGUCAUUCGAAGAUCGAAUCGAGGGGAUGCUACAUGUCAUGUUGCAGGUCCAGGCUCGCAGGCGACGGGGGUGGGAGUAGACGCUCCAGUUGAUCAACAGAAUUUUGGUGAGCUCCACUUCCUCCUGGAGUAGCCGAGUCGAGUCACUUGUGAUUUAGUCGUACAGGCUAUUUGGGUAGGCCGAGGCCCUGUCCCGACCAAGUUUUUUUUUUCAGACACUCUUAGAGGCUUUUGUAGACUGAUGGACACCUGUGGUCAGUAUUGUUAUGUAAGUAUUGUGUUUUGCA